UGGGCGCUUCAGUUGCAUGCCGUAGACCCGAAACCAGGCGACCUAUCCAUGGACAGGAUGAAGCGAAAGUAAAAUUUCGUGGAGGUCCGAACCCACGCACGUUGAAAGUGCGGGGAUGAGCUGUGGAUAGCGGUGAAAUUCCAAUCGAGCCUGGAGAUAGCUGGUUCUCCCCGAAAUAGCUUUAGGGCUAGCCUCGGGAUUAGAGACGAGGGGGUAGAGCACUGACUGUCCUAGGGGCCCUUUGGGUUACCGAAGACUAUCAAACUCCGAAUACCUUGUUUUUCCCGGGAGUCAGUCUAUGGGUGAUAAGGUCCAUGGACAAAAGGGUAACAGCCCAGACCAUCAGCUAAGGUCCCAAAGUGUGGAUUAAGUGGAAAAGGAUGUGGGAUUGCACAGACAACCAGGAUGUUGGCUUAGAAGCAGCCACUCAUUCAAAGAGUGCGUAAUAGCUCACUGGUCGAGUGAUCCUGCGCCGAAAUAUUACCGGGGCUAAAAUCCACCACCGAAGCUAUGGAUCCGUAAGGAUGGUAGGGGAGCGUUGUAUAAGGAGCGAAGCUGUACCGCAAGGAGCAGUGGACUUUAUACAAGUGAGAAUGUUGGCAUGAGUAGCGAGAGGCAGGUGAGAAUCCUGCCGGCCGAAAACCCAAGGUUUCCUGAGGAAGGUUCGUCCUCUCAGGGUUAGUCGGGGCCUAAGCUCAGGCCGAAAGGCGUAGGCGAUGGACAACAGGUUGAUAUUCCUGUACCACCAACCACCAUUUGAGUGAUGGGGUGACACAGUAGGAUAGGCCAUCCUUCAGUUGGUUUUGAAGGUCCAAGCGUUAAGGGAGUCGAAAUAGGCAAAUCCGUUUCGAUAAUUCUAAGGCGUGAUGGGGAGCGAAAUUUAAGUAGCGAAGUGGUUGAUUUCACACUAACGGGGCACCCCUUCUCCCUAAGUUACGGGGUAAUUUUGCCGAGUUCCUUAACAAUAGUUCUCUCGCUAGCCUUAGGAUUCUCUCCUCACCCACCUGUGUCGGUUUGCGGUACGGGCACCUUCCACCUCGUUAGAGGCUUUCCUGACAGUGUGAAAUCA
rnacentral:ncRNA from 1 species